GUCCUGAUGGGAUCCGGUGUAUUAGUGCUUGUAUGAUCGCAUCCGUUAGUAUAUGCAAUGCAAUCGUAUACCUUUUUUUUUGAAGACUUGAUAAACCAUUCGCCAUGGGUUCCACCCGCUAUGUAGGGAUACCCCAUCUAUUCUUAACGAGCUUUGAUGCAUGAAAAAAUUCUAAAACAAUGCUUGAACAAGUAAUUUUGGGUCCGUAAUAUAGCCCAAAUCACAAAAAUGCCCGAAAAAGUGCUUAAAGGUCAAAAUUUGGGGUCGACAAAAAGUCAAUGGAAAUGUUCCAUUGUUCUGCUUCUUUCGUCGGAGGGCUAUCUUUGGGCUUUCCAAAAAGGUAUCACAUCCCAAGUUUGGCCUCACGGUUUAAAAGUUAUAGAGUCAUAAAGUUUUAACAAAAAAAAACAAAUUAAAAAAAAAGAGGGAUGCAACACGAGGACUUCCCGGGAGGUCACCCAUCCUAGAACAACUCUCGCCCAAGCGCGGUUAACUAAAGGUCAAAAUUUGGAGUCGACAAAAAAUCAAUGGAUAUGUUCCAUUGUCCUGCUUCUUUCAUUUGAGGGCUCUCUUUGGGCUUUACGAAAAGGUAUCACAUGUCAAGUUUGGCCUCACUGUAUAAAAGUUAUAGAGACAUAAAGUUUUAAUCAAAGAAAAAAAUAAAA
rnacentral:sRNA from 1 species